AAGGCAAGACCUAGAGAAGGUCUCAGGAGGCGGGGCCGGGGCGGGGCGUUGAGUGUGUCGUGGCACAUGGCCAGGCGGUGCGCGGACUUUGGGAGGCGGAGCUUAGGACGGGCCGACGUGGGGAGGGGCCCAGGGUCCGGGAGGCGGGGCCGAGUCCGGGCUGCGGGCUGCGCUCAGGAGGCGGGCCCUGGGAGGCGGAGCUUAGGGAGGGGCCGGUGUCGGGAGGGACCCAGGGACUGGGAGGCCGGUCGGGGCUGGGCUCAGGGGCCGAGACCUAGCUGGGCUUGGGGCGGGGCCGAGACGGAGCGAGGGGUCCAGGGUGUGGGAAACGUGGAAGGGUUUGAGGAGGGGAUAGGAAUGUGGCUCAAGUUCGGCAGGCGUUACCUGCGGAGGGUUUGAAGCAGGCCCAGGAGCGAGCCCAUGGUCUUCCGACGCGGGGCCAGGGGCGGGCCCCAGGAUCCGGAGCUUCGGGCGGGGCCGAGUACGGGUUUGGGGUCCGGGAGGCGGGGCCAGUUAGGGCGAGAGUCCCUGGGAUCGUCGGGUCAGGCUUUGGGCUAACGUAGGCACUCUCGCAGUUCCUCCUUCAGGAAGGUCUUUUUAGCAGGGGCCUUACGGGUGUGCGCUUUGGUCCUGGAGGGCUUAUCCUAGCCUCCUCUCCAUCAGCGCCACCCGUCUGGGGCCCGAAAGGAGGGAGCUUUCCCUCUGUCCCCCAGCCUUUGGACUGUCACCAAACAAGCCAUUCGUUCACCAAAUACUUAUUAAGCGCCUACCAUGUGCCUGACAACGGAGAUGUAACGCUGUUGUUCCACACCAGAACCAAAUGAGCGCAAGAUCUGACAAAGAAAAAAAAAGUCCCUGUAUCCUGAGAUGGAGUCACCUGAGGAUCCACAGCAAGUCCUAACCAGGGAUGGGUCUGGGUGAUUAAGGAAGUUUGGCUUCAGAACUGGGCCAGGGGCACUGCUUUGCUUUUGCUGUUUUGAUCAGCUCUCUGCCUGCAGGAGACGGAAAAUCAAUGGGAACAGAUAGGGUCUCUCUCUCUGCCACCCAGGCCUGAGAGCAGUUGACGCAGGGCAGGGGAGCCCCGAAGUGGAGCAUAGUGUGUCCAGAACUGAUGGGUUCUUGGUCUCACUGACUUCAAGAAUGAAGCCGCAGACCCUCCCAGUGAGUGUCACAGUUCUUAAAGGCGGCGUGUCCAGAGUUUGUUCCUUCUGAUGCUCGGAUGUGUUCAGAGUUUCUUCCUUCUGGUGGUUUUGUGGUCUCGCUGGCUUCAAGAGUGAAGCUGCAGACCUUCAAGAAAUGAAGCGUCUCCCCAGGACCAGCAUUCCACGAAGGCAGCCCUUUUCUAGAUGGAGAAAACAGAACCUGAAGACACCCGUUUCCCUAAACUGCUCCUGCUCAUGUAAACUCCUGGAGGGCAGAGGCAUGCCUGCCAUCUUCAUCAUUGCAUUACCACCACCCAACACUAUCGGGGGACCUGCCCUGAUAAUCAGGCAGGUGUAUCCAGCAGCUCCAGAGAGACAGCGACCAGCGAGAAGGGGCCAUGAUGAUGAUGCUGGUUUUGUCAAAACGAAAAGGGGGAUGGGGGAUAUGUAGGGAAAAGAAAGAGAGAUCAGACUGUUACUGUGUCUACAUAGAAAGGGAAGACAUAAGAGACUCCAUUUUGAAAAAGACCUGUACUUUAAACAAUUGCUUUGCUGAGAUGUUGUUAAUCUGUAGCUUUGCCCCAGCCACUUUGCCCCAACCACUUCGACCCAACCUGGAGCUCACAAAAACAUGUGUUGUAUGAAAUCAAGGUUUAAGGGAUGUAGGGCUGUGCAGGACGUGCCUUGUUAACAAAAUGUUUGCAAGCAGUAUAUUUGGUAAAAGUCAUCGCCAUUCUCUAGUCUCAAUAAACCAGGGGCACAGUGCACUGUGGAAAGCCACAGGGACCUCUGCCCUUGAAAGCUGGGUAUUGUCCAAGGUUUCUCCCAAUGUGAUAGUCUGAAAUAUGGCCUCGUGAGAUGAGAAAGACCUGACCGUCCUCCAGCCCAACACCCAUAAAUGGUCUGUGCUGAGGUGGAUUAGUCAAAGAGGAAAGCCUCUUGCAGUUGAGAAAGAUGAAGGCCACUGUCUCCUGCCUGCCCCUGGGAACUGAAUGUCUCUAUAUAACACCCAACUGUACAUUUGUUCAAUUCUGAGAUGGGAGAAACCGCCCUAUGGUGGGAGGCGAGACAUGUUUACGGCAAUGCUGCCUUGUUAUUCUUUACUCCACUGAGAUGUUUGGGUGGAGAGAAACAUAAAUCUGGCUUACGUGCAUGUCCAGUCAUAGUACCUUCCCUUGAACUUCAUUAUGACAUAGAUUCUUUUGCUCACAUAUUUGUUGCUGACCUUCUCCUUAUUAUCACCCUGCCCUCCUACUACAUUCCCUUUUGCUGAAAUAAUGAAGAUAAUAAUCAAUAAAAACUGAGGGAACUCAGA